rnacentral:rRNA from 1 species
GAUGAACGCUGACAGAAUGCUUAACACAUGCAAGUCAACUUGAACUUCGGUUUGGGUGGCGGACGGGUGAGUAACGCGUAAAGAACUUGCCUCACAGAUAGGGACAACAUUUGGAAACGAAUGCUAAUACCUGAUAUUAUGAUUAUAUGGCAUCGUAUAAUUAUGAAAGCUAUAUGCGCUGUGAGAGAGCUUUGCGUCCCAUUAGCUAGUUGGAGAGGUAACGGCUCACCAAGGCGAUUAUGGGUAGCCGGCCUGAGAGGGUGAUCGGCCACAAGGGGACUGAGACACGGCCCUUACUCCUACGGGAGGCAGCAGUGGGGAAUAUUGGACAAUGGACCAAGAGUCUGAUCCAGCAAUUCUGUGUGCACGAUGAAGUUUUUCGGAAUGUAAAGUGCUUUCAGUUGGGAAGAAAAAAAUGACGGUACCAACAGAAGAAGUGACGGCUAAAUACGUG